rnacentral:tRNA from 1 species
UUGAAAGAAGCUAAAAGCGUUUUACUGUUGAUAAAAAGAAGAUCAUUUAUCCUUUCAAU